CUGAAGUGUGCAGAAUUGAAAUUUCCUUAGAAUAGGCCCUGUAAUGUGAAUGUGUAUUCCGCAAUAGCAAGCAAAAGCCUCCGGACGCUAGAAAUAUUUUCAUACAUGCAAAUCGCUUACAGUAAAUGAACGCGAUAAUGUCAAUUCUGCAAGUAUUGAAUUCUCGGAAUCGAUUUGUCAUUGGAAUUCUUUUGCGGUAAUUCUAGAG